UCGCUGCUGCUGCUAAUCUGAGUUGCACGACGUACCUUGCCGAAGUUCUGUCUCGGCAGCUCUUUGUGAGGUACUUCCUUAUAAGUCAUCUUACGAAAACCAAAUAAUCCCAAAACACUAAGGCACGAUGCAUUAAUUUUCACCUCGUUUCUUGUUUUUUUGACUUGAAUAAAGAAAUCAACCAACAAGAGACGUCAGACGUGUAUGUUUUUAAUGACUUGAGACUAACUAGCACGACAUGCAGUGGUCAAUUCAUUGCAUGCAAUUGUAUUAAUUAGCAAGUUCACAUUAAUUUCUCUUGUUUUCCUCUCCAUUUUGGUUGCGGUGCACAACCUAAGAUGAUUUAUAAACCGAGACGGAGGGAGUAAUUUUUAAUUUUUUUUUUGCGAUGUACAUGUCCAUGUCCCUGUAUGUGCAUUAUUCCUGGUGUGAAAAACUUAUUUAGUUCACAUGAAUGCAUAACUCUCGUGUGUGCUCAACAUGCCUUGCUUCAUGGUUAUGUCAGAAAUUUGUGCAUUAAUAAGUGUUUGGCAAUUAGCUUAUAUGCCCGAGCUUUUGUUGUGAAUUAGAUGCAAAAGGAAAAGGCAAAUUGGAAAAGGAAAAAGGCAAAUUGGGAUGCACAAUAUAUAUAGUUCAUCGUUUUGUUUGUGUUAUUGCUAAUUCUUAUGGUACGUUUUGUUUGUUCAGAAAUAUCCUAAGCAUGCAAAGUAUAAGAACAAGGGGCUGGCCAACCCGAAUGAAAUGCAUGUCAUUUUUGCCAAGGCACAUGGUCAUCAAGGAAACAUCAUCUAUUCUUGGGGAGAUGACGGACAACACAAAUGACGAUGAUAUCUUGAUAUAUUUUAGGCCGCUCCUAGUAAUCUAGUUAAUGGGCUUUCGCUUCUUAAAAUUGCAAGCGUUCUAAUGUAUUGAUGUAUUGAUGAAAGAUAAAAUAUUUUGGCAAGCUUGCUAGUUCAUCAACAUUUCUAUUUCUAUGUGUUGUAUUGAUCCUUAUAAAAAGUUGCUACUCUUUUGCCAUGUCAAAAUAUCAUGUAAUGCUAUUCUUUUGCCAUGUUAUUAUCAUUAAAUAACAUGCAACCAAUCUCUCAACUCAUAGGGG
rnacentral:lncRNA from 1 species